GCAACAAACGUCAGUCGCGCUAUGCCACGCAUCAAGAGAUCACCGCCUACAUAACUUGACGUUUUUCGGAACGCUCCUUUUGAAAAUCGAACGCAUUUGAAUGAAAAAGGCGCGAAAGUAGAAUGUGUCAUUUACUUUUCUUUUUUGACGGCCAGUAAUACUUUGUUUUUAAUUUGUGUUUCGGUUUGGAUUAUUUGUUUUGAUGCCUGAAAAUGAUAUUGACACAAGGAUUUGAUGUUUUUGUUACAAUUCUCGUAAUUGUUUCAUCGAACGUAUGCACGGCGUGUUUCAUAGGCAGCGAAUACGAAAAGUACACCGGCACGACCGGUUCCACGUAUGUCAAGAACUGCGAAUGCAAAGAAGUCGGGUACUCGGUGAAGCAUCUGACAUGGCUGGACCCAGAAGGCAACAUAAUCAAUGGACCAGAUUCGAGCAAUCCCAACAUUUACACGGAGGUCCAAGAGCACGACGGCACGGGUAUACUCAGUCUCGUGGUGAGGAGUAUCAGCAAGUCGAUGGCGGGCAACUACACCUGCCAGACCAACUUCGAAGGGAACACGUAUAGCCAGACGCAUAAUAUUGAGGCUUAUGACAGCCCGUAUUUCGUGAACACGACUGAAGAUCAGAAUAUAAUAAUCGGAGAAGACACAAUAGUUAGGUGCGAAGUGCGAGGAAUAGCGGAUUACGAGAUAGUCUGGUACCGAAUCACGGAUCGAGCUGAUGUGCUUUUAGGUAACGACAUAAAGUACAAUAUACUGCCUGAACGCGGCCUAAUGAUCAGAAAUGUUAGUAAAGAGGACGCUGGAUACUACAACUGCACAGUGAACAACAUUAUUACUGGGGAUUCUGUAGCAUUACGUAUAAAUGUACAGGCUGCAGCAAGACCAGUGAUUUACGAACCGAAGUUUAACGUCCCACCAGAGACCAUAGUUGUCGGCAGCUCAGUGGUGGUGGAGUGCCUUGCGGAAGCCAUACCCUACCCCGAGUAUACCUGGACCAAGAUUACUGAUGAGUACGGAAACCAACUGGAAGAAGCAAAUUCGACAUGGACGCCAAUGGUUAAUACAAUAAAAUUUGACAACAUACAAAAAGAAGAUGCAGGAACAUACGUAUGCACCGCUGCUAACUCUGUUGAUACUGCAACUAUAAAAGUUGUCAUUAAUGUCAAAGUGCCGCCAGUGAUAACCUCCCUAGAAAACGCGACCGUAGUGGAAGGCAGCGUCGCACAGAUUGCCUGCAAGGCCACCGGAGUUCCAGUCCCUGUACUACUCAUAGAGACCAGUGUGGAUGGACUGGAGACAGAUCCAAGGGUAUCAACAGCGGUCUUACAUCCGACACCGGACACGUCGGAGCUAUAUUUGACGAUUAUGAAUGUCACCAGAGACUGCGAGGGCGUUUUCAGAUGCAGUGCAGCUAAUGAAGUCAACAACGUAACCCAGGAAAUGUACUUGACCGUCCUCUACGCGCCAUAUUUCCCCAUACAAAACGAGACUGUCUGGGGAUGGCAGAAUCAUACGGUCAACAUGAGCUGCGUGCACACAAGCAACCCGCCGUCGACAAUAGUAUGGAAAUACCUUGGCAACGAAGGACGUGAAACAACAACAGCUGAACAUGAUGAAGUCAAUAAAAGGCUACAGGAACUGAGUGAUGGGAGUCCAGAUCAGUACUUAGCCUUGCAAAUCGAUGACGCGAAUAAGUAUGGGGAGUAUGAGUGCUCAGCUGUCAAUGCUUAUGGAAACUCUACUAAGAAAAUAUACUUGCGAGAAGCAUUCAAGCCGAUGGCUAUUAAAAAUGCAACGCCCAUAGCCAGUACAGCAACCUCCAUAACCUUCCACAUCCAAGGCCCAGAGGCCAUCGACAACGCUCCGAUCCGGGGCUAUGUUGCCGAAUACGAUCUGGUCGAGAACUACGCCAUCAUCAGCCACCAUAACAUCAGCUACUGCGGGAUCGAGAGGAACUUCACCAUAGACCGCCUGAAGCCUAACAGGACGUAUUCGAUCAGGUUCGCGGCCCAGAAUGCGGUUGGCGAUGGGGAGUGGUCGGCGCCUAUGGAAUUCACGACGCCUGAAUCUUCCGUGCCCGAACCGCCGACGGAGGUGUGGGGUCAUCAAGGCAAACUCAAGUGGAAGGCGCCGGAGUCUAACGGCGAGCCCAUCGACCAUUACAACGUAGAGUUCUGUCCGUUUGACGGCAAAGUCGUCAACCGCUCGCUCUGCCAGCAAGACAACGUGUCAGACACGACAUUCCCUCUGGAGAAGUUGGAGAGGAACGCUAAAUACAACUUCAGUAUAAGGGCACAUAAUGCGCAGGGUACUCGGGAUACACGUAUAAGGAGAUCAAAACGCCAGCUAAAAUAUUCGGCGAAGGCCUUCUCUCAGCGGGCGCCGUCAUCGGCAUAUCAGUGGUGGCUGUCUUCCUCUGCCUGCUUGUACUAGAUCUGCUGCUGCUAUGCUGGAGGAAGCAGGGCAUCAUCGCUAGCUGCUUCUUAAGGAAAAAUAAGAAGAAAACGGAUAAUAUCAACUCACGAGACAAGAAAGGUCUGCUAGUGACCGAAGGCGAGCGAACCGACGACCGACCCAACAACGGCGGCCACAGAGAACUGGUGUACAACAAGACAACUGGCGUCAUCACAGGGAAACACUCCUCAGUGUAGUUAUUAUAAACCA
rnacentral:misc_RNA from 1 species